AAUAGAUACCCUGUAGUCCACGCCGUAAACGAUGUCGACUUGGAGGUUGUUCCCUUGAGGAGUGGCUUCCGGAGCUAACGCGUUAAGUCGACCGCCUGGGGAGUACGGCCGCAAGGUUAAAACUCAAAUGAAUUGACGGGGGCCCGCACAAGCGGUGGAGCAUGUGGUUUAAUUCGAUGCAACGCGAAGAACCUUACCUACUCUUGACAUCCAGAGAACUUAGCAGAGAUGCUUUGGUGCCUUCGGGAACUCUGAGACAGGUGCUGCAUGGCUGUCGUCAGCUCGUGUUGUGAAAUGUUGGGUUAAGUCCCGCAACGAGCGCAACCCUUAUCCUUUGUUGCCAGCGGUUCGGCCGGGAACUCAAAGGAGACUGCCAGUGAUAAACUAGGAGGAAGGUGGGGAUGACGUCAAGUCAUCAUGGCCCUUACGAGUAGGGCUACACACGUGCUACAAUGGCGUAUACGAAAGAGAAGCGACCUCGCGAGAGCAAGCGGACCUCAAUAAAGUACGUCGUAGUCCGGAUUGGAGUCUGC
rnacentral:rRNA from 1 species